GGAGCUAAACAGUUAUACAUGAACCAUCUGCGUCCCUUCUUGUUGAAGCAUCAAGAGAGUCUUGAUCGCGUUUUAGGCCUUGCAUAUUGUGAAGUGAUCAAGCUUUUUAGUUUAUAUCAAAAAGAGAUCCAGUCAGUCAAGAUCAUGGUAGGAAAGAUAAUCGAAUCAGGUGAAACACUAUUUCUAUGCUUUGCAAUAGCUUUUGCUCGUUAUGUAAGAUACUAAACUGCAAAUUGAGUUUCUCUAUCUGUAUGGAUCAACUGAUAAAAUGUUGAGAAGCCCACCUACUGCAUCAGGUAGAUCAUCACAACGUAGUUCAGUUGAUGAAUCUGCCACACCUUUCAAUGCCGAGCCACACCUUAAAUGUUGAAAUCCUUUUUCUCUAAGAAAAAAACCAUAAGCUUUCUCCUGAUAGGAUGUCAUAGAUAAAUUUUCCGAGAUUUGCUUUUUUGCAAAGAUUGGAAGCUGUCAAUAUUUUUGUUGGUUUUAUAGAUUGACUUUUAAUAAUUGAUUUAUAAUUUUGUUUGUCUGUUGAUUUUAUAGAUUAACUUUUAAUGAAUGAUUGUAGUGGAGUUCA